AUACGAAAGGUGCAAGCGUUGUUCGGAUUUACUGGGCGUAAAGAGAUCGUAGGUGGUUUGUUAAGUCGGAUGUGAAAUCCCGGGGCUCAACCCCGGAACUGCAUUCGAUACUGGCAGACUAGAGUUUGGGAGGGGUAAGCGGAAUUCCGUGUGUAGCAGUGAAAUGCGUAGAUAUACGGAGGAACACCUGAGGCGAAGGCGGCUUACUGGACCAAUACUGACACUGAGGAUCGAAAGCGUGGGUAGCAAACAGGAUUAGAAACCCUAGUAGUCC
rnacentral:rRNA from 1 species